rnacentral:rRNA from 1 species
GACGAACGCUGGCGGCGUGCUUAACACAUGCAAGUCGAGCGGAGCGGCGAACGGGUGAGUAACGCGUGAGUAAAUGCCCCCCUCUCUGGGAUAACAGGUGGAAACGGCUGAUAAUACCGGAUAGUGGGGGAUGACUCGCGUCCUAUCAGCUUGGUGGUGGGGUAGUGGCCUACCAAGGCGACGACGGGUAGACGGCCUGAGAGGGCGACCGGCAAACUUGGGCGGAGGUACGGCCCUAACUCCGACGGGAGGCAGCAAUGUGGAAGUAUGCACGAUGGGGGAAACCCUGAUGCAGCAACGCCGCGUGCGUGAUGAGUGCCUUCGGGUUGUAACCCGCUUUCAGCCUUGAAGGGGUGGUUGCAGAAGAAGCACCGGCUAGCUACGGGCCAGCCGCGGCGGUAAUAC